AUUGAACGCUGGCGACAGGCCUAACACAUGCAAGUCGAGCGGAUGAUGGAGCUUGCUCCUGGAUUCAGCGGCGGACGGGUGAGUAAUGCCUAGGAAUCUGCCUGGUAGUGGGGGACAACGUUUCGAAAGGAACGCUAAUACCGCAUACGUCCUACGGGAGAAAGCAGGGGACCUUCGGGCCUUGCGCUAUCAGAUGAGCCUAGGUCGGAUUAGCUAGUAGGUGAGGUAAAGGCUCACCUAGGCGACGAUCCGUAACUGGUCUGAGAGGAUGAUCAGUCACACUGGAACUGAGACACGGUCCAGACUCCUACGGGAGGCAGCAGUGGGGAAUAUUGGACAAUGGGCGAAAGCCUGAUCCAGCCAUGCCGCGUGUGUGAAGAAGGUCUUCGGAUUGUAAAGCACUUUAAGUUGGGAGGAAGGGCAGUAAGUUAAUACCUUGCUGUUUUGACGUUACCGACAGAAUAAGCACCGGCUAACUUCGUGCCAGCCGCCGCGGUAAUAC
rnacentral:rRNA from 1 species